rnacentral:rRNA from 1 species
GAUCUGAAAUCAGGUAGGGCUACCCGCUGAACUUAAGCAUAUCAAUAAGCGGAGGAAAAGAAACUAACAAGGAUUCCCCUAGUAACGGCGAGUGAAGCGGGAAGAGCUCAAAUUUAAAAUCUAGUUUGCUUGCAAACUCGAGUUGUAGUCUGAAGAAACGUUUUCCAUGAAAGCUGAGGCACAAGUCCUUUGGAACAGGGCAUCAUAGAGGGUGAGAAUCCCGUCCAUGGUCUCAAGUCUUUCAUUUUGUGAUACGUUUUCUAAGAGUCAGGUUGUUUGGGAAUGCAGCCUAAAAUGGGUGGUAAAUUUCAUCUAAAGCUAAAUAUUGGCGAGAGACCGAUAGCGAACAAGUACCGUGAGGGAAAGAUGAAAAGAACUUUGAAAAGAGAGUUAAAAAGUACGUGAAAUUGUUGAAAGGGAACCGU